UACUACUGCCUCGUGGAUAUACUGCAACGAGGAGAAGCAUUCUGUAACUCAAGUAAAGAAUGUGGAUUUCAGGAUGGUUUUCAAAACGGAACAUGUGAAAUUACAAAACCAAAAGGGCCAAGCACGUGUACUUUACAGGCCUCAAGCGACGACAUUAAUAAACACCAACGCCAACAGGCAAGACUAUACACCCGCACACGAUACACCACGCUUCAAGGUUAUGACAGCAGUUGCAAACUUCCCCAUAUGAACCCUUUAACUGUUCUUACUUGCACAGGGCAACGACUCCGUUACAAACAACACGGGUGACAGGUAAGUACCAACCAAGACCUUUAUUACAAAGUUUCACAAAAAAUUGUACUUUACAUAAAACCUAUUUUCCUAUCCCGUCCUGGACCAUACAUCCUGCUGAACCCCGGCCGACGAACAGCGGAGCUUGCACAGGUAAGCAAACCACACAUUAAAAAGAAAAAGAAUCAGAGUAAAUACGUACACAUUUGAUCCACUGGAAAGGAGGCCACCCUUUCUAUUUCUCAGUUCACAUUAUCAACUCGUGACAGCGACAAAACUGCUGUACUGGGUCACGUGCAGCCACAUGGGGAUGUUGUAAUCCAUUUGGUGUGACAGCAAUAACUUAUCGAUUGUAAACAUAGUGUAGCGACCACAUUUAAAGACUAUAGACAUGCUCUGAAGCUCUGUGCUAACCAGAUGGAUCUUGAGAAAUAGUCAAACCAAAGUUCCCAACACAUGGAGGAUUGAACUUGCUCAAACCCUUUCAUACUGGAAUAGGCAUCAAUACUUCAGACUGUGACACCACAAACAUAUUGCAUAGUGUAGUGUUACCAGAGACCACGCCACCUUGGUUGUUUUGCCCAAGGAAACUGAACCAUUAGGAACCUUAAUCAUUCUGUUCACACCGAUCUCUUAAUUUAAAUUAAGAAUGAAGAGCAAGAGACCUGUAUUGAGUCUAACAAAAUUCACUUUAACACAAAAAAGAUGUCAAGUCCAUGCAAUUCAGUGUUCGGAGCAAGAAUUCAGAAGGGACCGAAGGAAUGGCAUUAAGGAAUAUCACUAGUCUAGACCCGGAGAGGUCUGUCCAAGGGGGAGCUAAUACUAUUUUGAAUCUUUCAAACUCUAACCCCCAUGUGCCCAUGCCCUGCAACACACACACAGAAAAUCAGCUCCUCUUUAUCCAGAGUGAUUUACAAAGAUUACACUUUUGCAUAAAGCUAGAUAUUUUUACUAAUUCAGGUUAAGUAGCUCGCUCAAGGGUACAGUGGCAGAAUCAAACCUGCAACCGAGGAGCGAGGGUCACUGACACUGCACUGCCAAGAGGUUUAGGGAGUUGGGCUUGCAACUCCUCAGCUGCAGGAUU